CCUACGGGUGACAGCAGUGAGGAAUAUUGGUCAAUGGACGAGAGUCUGAACCAGCCAAGUAGCGUGAAGGAUGACUGCCCUAUGGGUUGUAAACUUCUUUUAUAAGGGAAUAAAACGUGGCACGUGUGGGAUUUUGUAUGUACCAUAUGAAUAAGGAUCGGCUAACUCCGUGCCAGCAGCCGCGGUAAUACGGAGGAUCCGAGCGUUAUCCGGAUUUAUUGGGUUUAAAGGGAGCGUAGGUGGCUUGUUAAGUCCGUUGUGAAAGUUUGCGGCUCAACCGUAAAAUUGCCGUUGAAACUGGCAGUCUUGCGUACAGUUGCGGUCGGCGGACUUCGUGGUGUAGC
rnacentral:rRNA from 1 species